UACGUAGGGUGCGAGCGUUGUCCGGAUUUAUUGGGCGUAAAGAGCGUGUAGGCGGCCAUGUAGGUCCGUUGUGAAAACUCGAGGCUCAACCUCGAGACGCCGAUGGAAACCAUGUGGCUAGAGUCCGGAAGAGGAAAGUGGAAUUCCUGGUGUAGCGGUGAAAUGCGCAGAUAUCAGGAAGAACACCAAUGGCGAAAGCAGCUUUCUGGGACGGUACUGACGCUGAGACGCGAAAGCGUGGGGAGCGAACAGG
rnacentral:rRNA from 1 species